ACGAACGCUGGCGGCAUGCCUAACACAUGCAAGUCGCACGAGACCUUCGGGUCUAGUGGCGCACGGGUGCGUAACGCGUGGGAACCUGCCCUUAGGUUCGGAAUAACUCCCCGAAAGGGGUGCUAAUACCGGAUAAUGUCUUCGGACCAAAGAUUUAUCGCCUUUGGAUGGGCCCGCGUUGGAUUAGCUAGUUGGUAGGGUAAAAGCCUACCAAGGCGACGAUCCAUAGCUGGUCUGAGAGGAUGAUCAGCCACACUGGGACUGAGACACGGCCCAGACUCCUACGGGAGGAGGCGGGGGGGAAUGUUGGAGAGGGGGCGAAGGCCUGAUCCAGCAAUGCCGGGUGAGUAAUGAGGGCCUGAGGGUUGAAAAGCUCUUUUCCCGGGGAUGAUAAGGACGGUACCGGGAGAAUAAGCCCCGGCUAACUCCGUG
rnacentral:rRNA from 1 species